rnacentral:misc_RNA from 1 species
GGAAGUAAAAAGUCGUAACAAGGUCUCCGUUGGUGAACCAGCGGAGGGAUCAUUACAGAGUUCCACAACUCCCAACCCCUGCGAACCGUACCCCAGUUUGUUCUCGUUGCCUCCUGGCGGCGGGCCCCCGGCGCCACCGCCGGGGCCCCCGCCAGCGGCGGCGAGCCCCCUAAACCUUUUUUUCUCAACCAGCCCGUCUGAGCAAACAAACAAAUGAAUCAAAACUUUCAACAACGGAUCUCUUGGUUCUG